rnacentral:lncRNA from 1 species
UUGAGCUGCAUGUGUUUGAUCACAAGGUUAGUUGGAAGUUGUUUGAGAGUUCUGGGGAUUUACUUGUGUAGUUAGCUGCUGGAAAUUGAUUCCCAGUGUUUACAUGCUUACUGUAAAUCAUGUUAUGAGAACGAUGAAUUGGACCUAGUAUCAUUCUUGGAUACUAGUUAUAAAUUGUGGAAUGGGUUUAUGGAUAUAUGCUUGUUGUUGGUUCUAUUGAAUUUUGAUC